UUUGCGCAUGAGCGAAAGCUAGNGCAGCAACGCCGCGUGGACGAUGAAGGCCUUCGGGUCGUAAAGUCCUUUUCAGGGGGACGAGAGAGGACGGUACCCCUGGAAUAAGUCACGGCUAACUACGUGCCAGCAGCCGCGGUAAAACGUAGGUGGCAAGCGUUAUCCGGAUUCACUGGGCGUAAAGCGCCUGCAGGCGGUCUCGUAAGUGGGACGUGAAAUCUCUUGGCUCAACUGAGAGGAGCCGUUCCAUACUGCGGGACUAGAGGGCAGAAGAGGGAAGCGGAAUUCCCGGUGUAGUGGUGAAAUGCGUAGAUAUCGGGAGGAACACCAGUGGCGAAGGCGGCUUCCUGGCCUGCUCCUGACGCUAAGAGGCGAAAGCUAGGGGAGCGAACGGGAUUAGAAACCCCGGUAGUCCUAGCCGUAAACGAUGGAUACUAGGUGUCGGUGGUCCUAACCCCAUCGGUGCCGAAGCUAACGCGUUAAGUAUCCCGCCUGGGGACUACGGCCGCAAGGUUAAAACUCAAAGAAAUA
rnacentral:rRNA from 1 species